CCUACGGGAGGCAGCAGUAGGGAAUAUUGCUCAAUGGGGGAAACCCUGAAGCAGCAACGCCGCGUGGAGGAUGAAGGUUUUCGGAUUGUAAACUCCUUUUGUUAGAGAAGAUAAUGACGGUAUCUAACGAAUAAGCACCGGCUAACUCCGUGCCAGCAGCCGCAGUAAUACGGAGGGUGCAAGCGUUACUCGGAAUCACUGGGCGUAAAGAGCGCGUAGGCGGGAUAGCAAGUCAGAUGUGAAAUCCUGUAGCUUAACUACAGAACUGCAUUUGAAACUAUGAGUCUAGAGUGUGGGAGAGGUAGGUGGAAUUCGUGGUGUAGGGGUAAAAUCCGUAGAUAUCAAGAGGAAUACUCAUUGCGAAGGCGACCUACUGGAACAUUACUGACGCUCAUGCACGAAAGCGUGGGGAGCAAACAGGAUUAGAUACCCUUGUAGUC
rnacentral:rRNA from 1 species